CUUUCGGGCUUCGGCUCGACUCUCCCACCCUUUGUGAACGUACCUCUGUUGCUUUGGCGGCUCCGGCCGCCAAAGGACCUCCAAACUCCAGUCAGUAAACGCAGACGUCUGAUAAACAAGUUAAUAAACUAAAACUUUCAACAACGGAUCUCUUGGUUCUGGCAUCGAUGAAGAACGCAGCGAAAUGCGAUAAGUAAUGUGAAUUGCAGAAUUCAGUGAAUCAUCGAAUCUUUGAACGCACAUUGCGCCCCUUGGUAUUCCGGGGGGCAUGCCUGUUCGAGCGUCAUUACAACCCUCAAGCUCUGCUUGGAAUUGGGCACCGUCCUCACUGCGGACGCGCCUCAAAGACCUCGGCGGUGGCUGUUCAGCCCUCAAGCGUAGUAGAAUACACCUCGCUUUGGAGUGGUUGGCGUCGCCCGCCGGACGAACCUUCUGAACUUUUCUCAAGGUUGACCUCGGAUCAGGUAGGGAUACCCGCUGAACUUAAGCAUAUCAAU
rnacentral:rRNA from 1 species